rnacentral:lncRNA from 10 species
GUGAUGUCUUGAUGAUAUGCUAAACAAGGGGUGGAUUAUUCAUGCUCCCUUUUUAGACCAUAUAGGGCAACUUCCUGACGUUGCCAUGGCAUCUGUAAACUGUCACGGAGCUGGUGGGAGUGUAGCAGUGCCGACCAUCAGAGGUCAGUAAAAAUAGUCUGAAUUAAGCCUUCCAGAUGCGUACUCCCUUCUUUCCUGAGGCAGAUGAAGUAGAGAAGAAUGAAGGCAAUUAACAAAUCUGGACGAAUCCACCCCAGAAGCAGCUCCUGCUGCACCCACCUCAGCAAAGAAUCCAGAGGCGACCCCUCCUCUCCAUCUGCUCCUCCUCCAGGCCACUGUCCUCUCUAACCCUUCUCACUGGCCCCUGCCUCCACUCUUGUCAGACAGCAAGCUACAGAAUAACUGGGGAAAUACUUUUUAAAAAAAUAAAUCAGACCACAUCAGGCUCUUCAGCAUGGAAAUGUGGCCGCAGCCCAUGGGCCAGCCCACCAGUGCCGAUCAUCCCCAUCAC